rnacentral:rRNA from 1 species
UACGUAGGGGGCGAGCGUUGUCCGGAAUCAUUGGGCGUAAAGGGCGCGUAGGCGGCUGUGUAAGUCACCUGUGAAAUUCCGGGGCUCAACUCCGGAGCGGCAGGUGAGACUGCACGGCUGGAGCUCGGUAGGGGCGAGUGGAAUUCCCGGUGUAGCGGUGGAAUGCGUAGAUAUCGGGAAGAACACCGGUGGCGAAGGCGGCUCGCUGGGCCGAUGCUGACGCUGAGGCGCGAAAGCGUGGGGAGCAAACAGG